rnacentral:rRNA from 1 species
GAUGAACGCUGGCGGCGUGCUUAACACAUGCAAGUCGAACGAAGCACCUUAUUCUGAUUUCUUCGGAAUGAAAAAUUUGGUGACUGAGUGGCGGACGGGUGAGUAACGCGUGGGUAACCUGCCUCAUACAGGGGGAUAACAGUUAGAAAUGACUGCUAAUACCGCAUAAGACCACAGCACCGCAUGGUGCAGGGGUAAAACUCCGGUGGUAUGAGAUGGACCCGCGUCUGAUUAGGUAGUUGGUGGGGUAACGGCCUACCAAGCCGACGAUCAGUAGCCGACCUGAGAGGGUGACCGGCCACAUUGGGACUGAGACACGGCUCAA